rnacentral:rRNA from 1 species
CAGCCAUCAUUUAAAGAAAGCGUAAUAGCUCACUGGUCGAGUCGGCCUGCGCGGAAGAUGUAACGGGGCUAAACCAUGCACCGAAGCUGCGGCAGCGACACUAUGUGUUGUUGGGUAGGGGAGCGUUCUGUAAGCCUGUGAAGGUGUACUGUGAGGUAUGCUGGAGGUAUCAGAAGUGCGAAUGCUGACAUAAGUAACGAUAAAG